CUACACAUGCAAGUCGAACGCGAACGCACCUUCGGGUGUUAUUAGAGUGGCAGACGGGUGAGUAACGCGUGGGUAUUUACCUAGUGGUAAGGGAUAACUCAGGGAAACCUGGGCUAAUACCUUAUAAGCCCUUCGGGGGAAAGAUUUAUCGCCAUUAGAUGAGCCCGCGUCGGAUUAGCUAGUUGGUGGGGUAAAAGCCUACCAAGGCGACGAUCCGUAGCUGGUCUGAGAGGAUGAUCAGCCACACUGGGACUGAGACACGGCCAGACUCCUACGGGAGGCAGCAGUGGGGAAUAUUGGACAAUGGGCGCAAGCCUGAUCCAGCCAUGCCGCGUGAGUGAUGAAGGCCUUAGGGUUGUAAAACUCUUUCACCGGUGAAGAUAAUGACGGUAGCCGGAGAAGAAGCCCCGGCUAACUCCGUGCCAGCAGCCGCGGUAAUACGGAGGGGGCUAGCGUUGUUCGGAAUUACUGGGCGUAAAGCGCACGUAGGCGGAUUGGUCAGUUGGGGGUGAAAUCCCAAGGCUUAACCUUGGAACUGCCUCCAAAACUGCCAGUCUUGAGUCCGGGAGAGGUGAGUGGAAUUCCUAGUGUAGAGGUGAAAUUCGUAGAUAUUAGGAAGAACACCAGUGGCGAAGGCGGCUCACUGGCCCGGUACUGACGCUGAGGUGCGAAAGCGUGGGGAGCGAACAGGAUUAGAUACCCUGGUAGUCCACGCCGUAAACGAUGGAAGCUAGCCGUCGGGCGGUAUACCGUUCGGUGGCGCAGCUAACGCAUUAAGCUUCCCGCCUGGGGAGUACGGUCGCAAGAUUAAAACUCAAAGGAAUUGACGGGGGCCCGCACAAGCGGUGGAGCAUGUGGUUUAAUUCGAGGCAACGCGAAGAACCUUACCAGCCCUUGACAUCCCGGUCGCGGAUAGCAGAGAUGCUUUCCUUCAGUUCGGCUGGACCGGU
rnacentral:rRNA from 1 species